rnacentral:rRNA from 1 species
CCAAUAGCGUAUAUUAAAGUUGUUGCAGUUAAAAAGCUCGUAGUUGAAUUUCGGGAUCAAGGGAUCGGUCAUGCCUUGGUAUGUACUGGUUUCAUUGGUUCUCCUUUCUGAAGAACCAUGAUGUCAUUUAUUUGGUGUCGUGGGGAAUCAGGACUGUUACUUUGAAAAAAUUAGAGUGUUUAAAGCAGGCUCACGCUUGAAUACAUUAGCAUGGAAUAAUGAAAUAGGACGUUUGAUUCUAUUUUGUUGGUUUCUAGGAUCGACGUAAUGAUUAAUAGGGAUAGUUGGGGGCAUUAGUAUUCAAUUGUCAGAGGUGAAAUUCUUGGAUUUAUUGAAGACUAACUACUGCGAAAGCAUUUGCCAAGGAUGUUUUCAUUAAUCAAGAACGAAAGUUAGGGGAUCGAAGACGAUCAGAUACCGUCGUAGUCUUAACCAUAAACUAUGCCGACUAGGGAUCGGAUGAUGUUAAUUUUUUAAUGACUCAUUCGGCGCCUUACG